UACGGGGGGGCAAGCGUUGUUCGGAAUUACUGGGCGUAAAGGGCGCGUAGGCGGUUCGAUAAGUCCGCUGUGAAAACCAUGGGCUUAACUCAUGGCCUGCAGUUGAGACUGUCGGGCUGGAGUGUGGGAGAGGAGAGUGGAAUUCCUGGUGUAGCGGUGAAAUGCGUAGAUAUCAGGAGGAACACCGGUGGCGAAGGCGGCUCUCUGGACCACAACUGACGCUGAGGCGCGAAAGCUAGGGGAGCAAACAGG
rnacentral:rRNA from 1 species